rnacentral:rRNA from 1 species
UACAGAGGGGGCAAGCGUUGUUCGGAAUUACUGGGCGUAAAGGGCGCGUAGGCGGCCUUCUAAGUCGAACGUGAAAUCCCCGGGCUCAACCCGGGAACUGCGUCCGAGACUGGAAGGCUUGAAUCCGGGAGAGGGAUGUGGAAUUCCAGGUGUAGCGGUGAAAUGCGUAGAUAUCUGGAGGAACACCGGUGGCGAAGGCGGCAUCCUGGACCGGCAUUGACGCUGAGGCGCGAAAGCCAGGGGAGCAACGGG